CCCUUGGUGGUCUAGUUGGUUAUGGCCCCCGGCUGUAAUCGCCUGUCUCUUGGACUUGAGAAAACUCAAGUAUCCAAUGACACCUGCUUACCGGGUGGUCGCGUGUUCGACUCACGCCCGAGGGA